GUAGGUGAACCUGCGGAAGGAUCAUUAUUACAACAGUGUGGUUUCACAACUACAUUUAAACCAAAAUGUGCAACUGUAUCGGAAACGUUGGGGUUUUAUUUUAUUUGGCUUGAAGUUUCCCUGACGUUUCUUUGUUUUUUAUUCAAAACUUUAAAGCUUUAUUUUUAACCCAAUUUCACCUCGAUAUUCUUAGUAUGAACUUAACAUUUUCUCGAUUCGAAAGGAUCUACAGAAAAAAUCAUACGAAACUUAAGAACAACUCUUAACGACGGAUAUCUUGGCUCUC
rnacentral:misc_RNA from 1 species